UUAUGUCCCUUCAUAUCUUACGUUUUUUACUUUGUAAAGAAGUAACUUUGGGUUUGUAGCACAACAGUAUCUUGGUUUUAUAUGCUUUUAAACAACUAUAAGUUUAUUUAUCAAAGCAAAAACAAAACAACAAAAAACAGCUACAAGUUUUAUGCAGUUCGUUAAUGCUGAAAAUGUAUGUGUAACCAACUUUCUGAGAGAAUUAUGGUAGUUACCCAGGAGCCUAUAGAUUUUAUAGCAAUUACAUAUUUUGAAAGAAUGGUAGUUAAAUCAGAUUAUUAGAGCUAUUAUACUGGACAACAGGUGACAAAUAGAAUUCUGUUUUUGGUUCUAUUUGGAACUUUCUCAUAGGUUAUGGCCUACAUUAAUGAAUUGAGAUCUCUGUAGCAUGUUAUGCAAAUAUAUCAGCCUUCUAAUUCUACACCUCUAAAAGCACUGAGUUGAUAUUUUCUGUACUCAACUGCUUUAAAAGAGAAUGUCUUCGGCUAAUGAUUGUUAGCCGCCAUUGCUUAUCAGAAAGAGAUGGAAAUUCAUGUUUCCGAUCAUCUGCAAAGAAAAACUGGAAGUUAUUAUAUAGGUUUUCCAAUCUCUUACUAACUCCUUAUGAUGUGUAGUUUUCAAGCAGUUAAGGAAAACAUCAACUCGGUGAAGGAUUUUCUAUUUUAGUAUUAUUCAAAUUGUCAAGGGCUCCGAGAUGUAAGAACUUAUUGCUCUUUCUUCUUUAUUUACUUAUUGACUAUUUGGUAGUUGUAUAUCUUGGUAUUUUGUGUCAUAUCGAAUAUGUCUCUUCUAGCCUGUAGGCUACAUUACCUCGGCUCAGGGCGAGGUCUAGGUGUUAAUUUCAUGUAAUUUCUUGAAAUUAAGAUUGCUAUCUGAAUUUGUUUCUUUGCGUGAUGCCCUUGUACAUAGAUAUUUCUUGGCAUGGGUAUGUUUGAUGACAAGUGGGAAGCUAACCAUGCUCUGAAAUGUGAACAUGAUCAAUCAUUCAAUCCUACGUUGUUCUUUCACCAUCCUCCUAUAUCUCAGCUGUAGACUGGUUGUUUGCAACAUUGUGGAACAAGUGAUAGGGCUAUUUUCAGAAUCCAAUAUGUUGCUCUUGAUAAGCUUUCUGAAACUCAAAAGGUAUUCUUCUUUGAUCACUUUGUGAUUGUUGUCAUCUAUACUUCCAUUUCUUUCCUGUAUAUUCUUCUCCUCAUUUUGGCGGAAGCGGCCUCAUCCUCUAAACAAACUAUUAUGUACCAUAGUCCAUUUUCGUCGUAUAUUAACUUCCCAACUGCCAAUAACACCAAUGAGCUCGCAGAGAAGUAUUACUGUUCUAGCGGCUCUUCAUGUAGUCAGACAGUGUUAAAGCAAAUCGAUUUCUUCCUCUUCGCGUUCUCCAAGCUUGAACGGGUUGAAACUGGUUGGAAAGCCCUUUCAUGUUCAAAUACAAUUCAAUUACUCAGCUAGAACUCAAGUUCAUGUUUGUGCUGUCACACUAUUUUCUCAGGUGCUUUGGAUUAUACUAUUGAUUCAAGUAUGCCUCGCUCAUGUUUGUGCUGUCGCACUUUUAUUUUUCUCUGGUGCUUUGGAUUAUGCUAUUGAUUCAAGCAUCCGUCAUUAUGAAGUGUUUUAUUAAAGCAAUUGUGUACCUCCUGAAAGUUUGAGCUGAUCCUUUGUUCAUAAUUUUGGAUUUCAGUGACAUUUUUAUGCAAGUUCUCUCUCCCCCACACACACCAAUCCAGCAGGACCAAAAAGCCAUUUGUCAUAAAGCAGCACAAUGUAGGGCACAAACAUAAGCCUUAUUGGAACCUCCCAACAUCAACUUAACAUCAAAGGUGGCAUGAGGAAGUAAAUUAGGAACUGUGAUCUCUGCCCGCUUGCUAUCAGUGCUGGUAGGAGGAGUGCUGAUCUUAUGGGAAUUAGAGGGCCCUUGAAGCACAGAACUGACCACACCUUCCAGCACUUCCAAAGGUUCUAUUUCAGAAUCCUCAGCAUCU